AGGGAAACAGAUAAAAGUAGCUGCUAACUAGUUUUUAAAGCGGUUAAAUUCCGUUUAUUCCCUA
rnacentral:tRNA from 1 species